AACUGCUGGACAAGGAGUGUUCUGUUGAGCUCAUUUUCACACGAUGAACAACUGGCUUAGAACUGAUUCGGGCAAGGGGAAUCCGACUGUUUAAUUGAAACAAAGCAUUGCGAGGGCCUCAAAGGGUGGUGCCACAAUGUGAUUUCUGCCCAGUGCUCUGAAUGUCAAAGUGAGGAAAUUCAACUAAGCGCGGGUAAACGGCGGGAGUAACUAUGACUCUCUUAAGGUAGCCAAAUGCCUCGUCAUCCAAUUAGUGACGCGCAUGAAUGGAUUAAUGAGAUUCCCACUGUCCCCAUCUACUGUCCAGCGAAACCACAGCCAAGGGAACGGGCUUGGGUAAAUCAGCGGGGAAAGAAGACCCUGUUGAGCUUGACUCUAAUCUGACUUUGUGAAAUGACUUAGGAGGUGUAGGAUAUGUGGGAGCUCUGGUGAUCUUGAAAUACCACUACUCUUAAUGUCACUUUACUUACUCUAUCAGACUGUGGCCUGCUUCCCAGCAGGUUUUUGUUUCAAGGCAUCUCAUCUGACUUGUUGACUUGCGUAGAGGACGUAGUCAGGUGGGCAGUUUGGCUGGGGCGGCACAUCUGUUAAAGGAUAACGCAGGUGUCCCAAGGUAAGCUCAAGGAGAACAGAAAUCUCAUGUGGAUCAGAAGGGGAAAUGCUUGCUUGAUUUUGCUUUUCAGUGUGAAGACAANCUGUGCAAACAUGGCCUAUCGAUCCUUUGG
rnacentral:rRNA from 1 species